AGAGUUUGAUCCUGGCUCAGGACGAACGCUGGCGGCGUGCUUAACACAUGCAAGUCGAGCGAUCGGCCUUGGGGGGGUAACCCCCCUUGGUACGGAGCGGCGAACGGGUGAGUAACACGUGGGUAACCUGCCCCAGACACCGGAAUAACCCCGGGAAACCGGGGCUAAUGCCGGAUAUUCUCGCCGGGUCGCAUGGCCUGGCGAGGAAAGCUCUGGCGGUCUGGGAGGGGCCCGCGGCCUAUCAGCUUGUUGGUGGGGUAAUGGCCCACCAAGGCGACGACGGGUAGCUGGCGUGAGAGCGUGGCCAGCCACACUGGGACUGAGACACGGCCCAGACUCCUACGGGAGGCAGCAGUGGGGAAUCUUGCGCAAUGGGCGAAAGCCUGACGCAGCGACGCCGCGUGGGGGAUGAAGGCCCUCGGGUUGUAAACCCCUUUCGGCAGGGAAGAAGCCGCAAGGUGACGGUACCUGCAGAAGAAGCCCCGGCUAACUACGUGCCAGCAGCCGCGGUAAGACGUAGGGGGCGAGCGUUGUCCGGAUUUAUUGGGCGUAAAGCGCGCGUAGGCGGUUCGGUAAGUCGGUGGUGAAAACCCGGAGCUCAACUCCGGGCCUGCCUCCGAUACUGCCGGACUGGAGGCAGGUAGGGGAGAGUGGAAUUCCCGGUGUAGCGGUGAAAUGCGCAGAUAUCGGGAGGAACACCGGUGGCGAAGGCGGCUCUCUGGACCUGUCCUGACGCUCAGCGCGAAAGCUAGGGGAGCGAACAGGAUUAGAUACCCUGGUAGUCCUAGCCGUAAACGUUGGGUGCUAGGUGUGGGGCGGCGUUUGACCCGCUCUGUGCCGAAGCUAACGCAUUAAGCACCCCGCCUGGGAGUACGGCCGCAAGGCUAAACUCAAAGGAAUUGACGGGGCCCGCACAGCGCG
rnacentral:rRNA from 1 species